UAUUGUCCUGAGGCCUGGG
rnacentral:misc_RNA from 1 species